ACCGGUACGGGCUCUGAGAGGAGGAGCCCGGAGAUGGGCACUGAGACAAGGGCCCAGGCCCUAUGGGGCGCAGCAGGCGCGAAACCUCUGCAAUAGGCGAAAGCCUGACAGGGUUACUCUGAGUGAUUUCCGUUAAGGAGAUCUUUUGGCACCUCUAAAAAUGGUGCAGAAUAAGGGGUGGGCAAGUCUGGUGUCAGCCGCCGCGGUAAUACCAGCACCCCGAGUGGUCGGGACGUUUAUUGGGCCUAAAGCAUCCGUAGCCGGUUCUGCAAGUCUUCCGUUAAAUCCACCUGCUUAACAGAUGGGCCGCGGAAGAUACUAUAGAGCUAGGAGGCGGGAGAGGCAAGCGGUACUUGAUGGGUAGGGGUAAAAUCCGUUGAUCCACUGAAGACCACCAGUGGCGAAGGCGGCUUGCCAGAACGCGCUCGACGGUGAGGGAUGAAAGCUGGGGGAGCAAACCGGAUUAGAUACCCGGGUAGUCCCAGCUGUAAACGAUGCAGACUCGGUGAUGAAUAGGCUUCGUGCCUUUUCAGUGCCGCAGGGAAGCCGUUAAGUCUGCCGCCUGGGGAGUACGGUCGCAAGACUGAAACUUAAAGGAAUUGGCGGGGGAGCACCACAAGGGGUGAAGCCUGCGGUUCAAUUGGAUUCAA
rnacentral:rRNA from 1 species